rnacentral:rRNA from 1 species
AGGAUGAACGCUAGCGACAGGCUAACACAUGCAAGUCGAGGGGCAGCACGGGAGUAGCAAUACAACGUGGUGGCGACCGGCGCACGGGUGAGUAACGCGUAUGCAACCUACCUAUCAGAGGGGAAUAACCCGGCGAAAGUCGGACUAAUACCGCAUAAAACAGGGGCACCGCAUGGUGAUAUUUGUUAAAGAGAUUCGCUGAUAGAUGGGCAUGCGUUCCAUUAGGUAGUUGGUGAGGUAACGGCUCACCAAGCCGACGAUGGAUAGGGAACUGAGAGGUUGGUCCCCCACACUGGUACUGAGACACGGACCAGACUCCUACGGGAGGCAGCAGUGAGGAAUAUUGGUCAAUGGGCGGGAGCCUGAACCAGCCAAGUCGCGUGAAGGAAGAAGGAUCUAUGGUUCGUAAACUUCUUUUGCAGGGGAAUAAAGUGCAGGACGUGUCCUGUUUUGUAUGUACCCUGAGAAUAAGGAUCGGCUAACUCCGUGCCAGCAGCCGC